AUUGAACGCUGGCGGCAUGCCUUACACAUGCGAGUCGAACGGCAGCACGGGUGCUUGCACCUGGUGGCGAGUGGCGAACGGGUGAGUAAUACAUCGGAACGUACCUUAUCGUGGGGGAUAACGCAGCGAAAGCUGUGCUAAUACCGAAUACGCCCUGCGGGGGACAGCGGGGGAUCGCAAGACCUCGCGCGAUUAGAGCGGCAGAGGCGUGAUUAGCUAGUUGGUGGGGUAAAAGCCCACCAAGGCGACGAUCAGUAGCUGGUCUGAGAGGACGAUCAGCCACACUGGGACUGAGACACGGCCCAGACUCCUACGGGAGGCAGCAGUGGGGAAUUUUGGACAAUGGGGGCAACCCUGAUCCAGCAAUGCCGCGUGAGUGAAGAAGGCCUUCGGGUUGUAAAGCUCUUUUGUCAGGGAAGAAACACCGGCUCUAACACAGUCCGGGAAUGACGGUACCUGAAGAAUAAGCACCGGCUAACUACGUGCCAGCCGCCGCAGUAA
rnacentral:rRNA from 1 species